rnacentral:rRNA from 1 species
UACAGGGGGUGCAAACGUUGCUCGGAAUCAUGGGGCGUAAAGCGCACGUAGGCGGUCUGUUAUGUCGGAUGUGAAAGCCCUUGGCUUAACUGAGGAAGUGCAUCCGAAACUGGCAGGCUAGAGUACUAAAGAGGGUCGCGGAAUUCCCGGUGUAGAGGUGAAAUUCGUAGAUAUCGGGAGGAACACCGGUGGCGAAGGCGGCGACCUGGGUAGAUACUGACGCUGAGGUGCGAAAGCGUGGGGAGCAAACGGG